rnacentral:rRNA from 1 species
GACGAACGCUGGCCGCGUGCUUAACACAUGCAAGUCGAACGCUGAAGCCCUGGUGCUUGCACCGGGGUGGAUGAGUGGCGAACGGGUGAGUAACACGUGAGUAACCUGCCCCUGACUUCGGGAUAAGCCCGGGAAACUGGGUCUAAUACCGAAUAUGACCGUUCCUCGCAUGAGGGAUGGUGGAAAGUUUUUUCGGUUGGGGAUGGGCUCGCGGCCUAUCAGCUAGAUGGUGGGGUAAUGGCCCACCAUGGCGACGACGGGUAGCCGGUCUGAGAGGGCGACCGGCCACACUGGGACUGAGACACGGCCCAGACUCCUACGGGAGGCAGCAGUGGGGAAUAUUGCACAAUGGGGGAAACCCUGAUGCAGCGACGCAGCGUGCGGGAUGACGGCCUUCGGGUUGUAAACCGCUUUCAGCAGGGAAGAAGCCCCUUGGGGUGACGGUACCUGCAGAAGAAGUACCGGCUAACUACGUGCCAGCAGCCGCGGUAAUACGUAGGGUACGAGCGUUGUCCGGAAUUAUUGGGCGUAAAGAGCUCGUAGGUGGUUGGUCACGUCUGCUGUGGAAACGCAACGCUUAACGUUGCGCGUGCAGUGGGUACGGGCUGACUAGAGUGCAGUAGGGGAGUCUGGAAUUCCUGGUGUAGCGGUGAAAUGCGCAGAUAUCAGGAGGAACACCGGUGGCGAAGGCGGGACUCUGGGCUGUAACUGACACUGAGGAGCGAAAGCAUGGGGAGCGAACAGGAUUAGAUACCCUGGUAGUCCAUGCCGUAAACGUUGGGCACUAGGUGUGGGGGACAUUCCACGUUCUCCGCGCCGUAGCUAACGCAUUAAGUGCCCCGCCUGGGGAGUACGGUCGCAAGGCUAAAACUCAAAGGAAUUGACGGGGGCCCGCACAAGCGGCGGAGCAUGCGGAUUAAUUCGAUGCAACGCGAAGAACCUUACCAAGGCUUGACAUACACCAGACCGGGCUGGAAACAGUCCUUCCCCUUUGGGGUUGGUGUACAGGUGGUGCAUGGUUGUCGUCAGCUCGUGUCGUGAGAUGUUGGGUUAAGUCCCGCAACGAGCGCAACCCUCGUUCUAUGUUGCCAGCACGUGAUGGUGGGAACUCAUAGGAGACUGCCGGGGUCAACUCGGAGGAAGGUGGGGAUGACGUCAAAUCAUCAUGCCCUUUAUGUCUUGGGCUUCACGCAUGCUACAAUGGCUGGUACAGAGAGAUGCGAGACCGUGAGGUUUUAGCGAAUCCCUUAAAGCCAGUCUCAGUUCGGAUCGUAGUCUGCAAUUCGACUACGUGAAGUCGGAGUCGCUAGUAAUCGCAGAUCAGCAACGCUGCGGUGAAUACGUUCCCGGGCCU